GAAAAGCCAGAGUGAAGCAGACCAUUAGCAGAUAAUUGUCAUAAUCUUGAUACUAAAUGGAGACCAGAAUUAAGUUACAACACUGAAUACAGAAACUUGAAGAACAACAUCAUUUCAGUCAGGAGUACCAAAAAGAGCUUUUAAGGAAACAGAAGCAGAAAAUGGCAUAGAAGCUGAAACUAAAAUAUUCAUUGAAGUCAGAAGGCAAAGGAUCCUUUGACGUAGUCCAUUCAGAGCAGAAGGAGAAGAAUGCAGAGUGCAUCUGCAGGGACACAUAGAGGAUGCAGCGCAAUGGAGACACUGUUUAAUGCCACAGGGGACCUGGGCUCUUUUCCUCUCUCCUAUCUGCCUUGUGAAGAAGGUACUUGGUUCUCCUUUGCCUUCCGCAAUGAUUUUAAGCUGUGUGAGGCCUCCCCAGCCAUGCAGAACUGCUUUCAAAGAAUUGAAUGAAGCCCAUCCGCACUGGGAAGGCAGUCUGCUUUGUUCAGCCUACUGAUCCAACUGUCAAUCUCAUCCAGAAACACCUUCCCAGAUGCACCAAGAAUGUUUAAGCAAAUAUCUGGGC